UGGGGAAUUUUGCACAAUGGAGGAAACUCUGAUGCAGCGACGCCGCGUGAGUGAUGAAGAUCUUCGGAUUGUAAAACUCUGUCCUUAGUGAAGAUAAUGACAGUAACUAAGAAGCAAGCCCUGGCUAAAUACGUGCCAGCAGCCGCGGUAAUACGUAUGGGGCAAGCGUUGUCCGGAAUUAUUGGGCGUAAAGGGUACGUAGGCGGUUUAAUAAGUCCUAAUUAAAAGGCUAUGGCUCAACCAUAGUAUGGUUAGGAAACUGUUGAACUUGAGUAGAUGAGGGGAAAGUGGAAUUCCAUGUGUAGCGGUGAAAUGCGUAGAUAUAUGGAGGAACACCAAUGGCGAAGGCAACUUUCUGGAAUCAAACUGACGCUGAGGUACGAAGGCGUGGGGAGCACACAGG
rnacentral:rRNA from 1 species